UACGUAGGUUGCAAGCGUUGUCCGGCUUUACUGGGCGUAAAGCGCGCGCAGGCGGACUGGUCAGUCCGGGGUGAAAUCUCACGGCUCAACCGUGAGGGGUCCCUGGAUACUGCCGGCCUUGAGGGGCUCAGAGGAGAGUGGAAUUCCGGGUGUAGUGGAGGAAUGCGUAGAUAUCCGGAGGAACACCAGUGGCGAAAGCGGCUCUCUGGGGGCAACCUGACGCUGAGGCGCGAAAGCGUGGGGAGCGAACCGG
rnacentral:rRNA from 1 species